CUCUUCAUCUUCUCUUCUGGUCACUGCUGUGGUUGUGGGAUCGAGUGUUUUCUUGUUGAUCUUCAUCUCUCUGCUGCUGCUGUGGAGAUACAAGAAGAACAAAGAUCAGCAGCGUAACAUUAACCAGACAUCAGUCCCAAAUCAAUCUGCAGAAUCUCAACCAGAAAACUUUCCUCUACAGUCUGGACCCAGUGAUCUGGUUUAUGCUCAGAUUGAUUUACAGGACAAAAAGAAGACCAAGGUCAAAG